GGGAGCUAGGAGAAGGGGGAGCAUACUUAACGUAUACAUUGUUUACUGAGAUAGAAAAAGCCUAGCAUAACCAGGCGCCUUAAAAAUCAUCUUGAAAUACAUUUCGUUUAGCAUGAGUAUUUCUAAAUAUCAAAAGGGAAAGAUUGUUAUGACAAAAAUCGUAAGGGAAAGAUUGUUAAGACAAAAAUCGUAUAGAGAGUAGAUUGACCAAGCAACCUAAGUUUUGAAGUUUAACAAAUAACAUAAAAGGAAAUAUUACUAUUGUGUAAGAAAAGCUAUUUAAAUUAGUAGCAUCUAAUGAACAAGCAUUUUAUAACGUUUAAAGCCAAGAGCUGAAGUAAUGCUUUCUAGACGAAAGGAGAAAGCUUU
rnacentral:lncRNA from 1 species